rnacentral:rRNA from 1 species
AGUGAACGCUGGCGGUAGGCCUAACACAUGCAAGUCGAACGGCAGCACAGGAGAGCUUGCUCUCUGGGUGGCGAGUGGCGGACGGGUGAGGAAUACAUCGGAAUCUACCUUUUCGUGGGGGAUAACGUAGGGAAACUUACGCUAAUACCGCAUACGACCUACGGGUGAAAGUGGGGGACCGCAAGGCCUCACGCGAUUAGAUGAGCCGAUGUCCGGUUAGCUAGUUGGCGGGGUAAUGGCCCACCAAGGCGACGAUCGGUAGCUGGUCGGAGAAGAUGAUCAGCCACACUGGAACUGAGACACGGUCCAGACUCCUACGGGAGGCAGCAGUGGGGAAUAUUGGACAAUGGGCGCAAGCCUGAUCCAGCCAUACCGCGUGGGUGAAGAAGGCCUUCGGGUUGUAAAGCCCUUUUGUUGGGAAAGAAAUCCUGUCGAUUAAUACUCGGUGGGGAUGACGGUACCCAAAGAAUAAGCACCGGCUAACUUCGUGCCAGCAGCCGCCGUAAUAC